AAAAAUGCGUUGAUGGAGAAGAGUAACUGGCGUGUUUUGCGCACAGAGAGGGAUUCCGCGUGUGUCCAUGCGGGUGGAAGAAUCCUGCCAGGCCCCAGCGAAGACCACUCCUGAGCAGUUUGUGUGAACCUGCCUUUGUGCGGCAGUAAUGCAGACCGCGCGCCAGGCGAUAUUGGCGAAGAGCGCGGCCCCUCGUCGCGGGGAGCCGAAGUAAGGUGGUACCGCGGAUUACCGUGAGCAUUGAUCUCCACGGGAUUCGUCCUUACG
rnacentral:ncRNA from 1 species